CUACGGGGGGCAGCAGUGGGGAAUAUUGGACAAUGGGCGAAAGCCUGAUCCAGCCAUGCCGCGUGUGUGAAGAAGGCCUUCGGGUUGUAAAGCACUUUCAGUGGGGAAGAAAGCCUUGGGGCUAAUACCCUCGAGGAAGGACAUCACCCACAGAAGAAGCACCGGCUAACUCCGUGCCAGCAGCCGCGGUAAUACGGAGGGUGCGAGCGUUAAUCGGAAUUACUGGGCGUAAAGCGCGCGUAGGCGGUCUGAUAAGCCGGUUGUGAAAGCCCCGGGCUCAACCUGGGAACGGCAUCCGGAACUGUCAGGCUAGAGUGCAGGAGAGGAAGGUAGAAUUCCCGGUGUAGCGGUGAAAUGCGUAGAGAUCGGGAGGAAUACCAGUGGCGAAGGCGGUCUUCUGGACUGACACUGACGCUGAGGUGCGAAAGCGUGGGUAGCAAACAGGAUUAGAUACCCGGGUAGUC
rnacentral:rRNA from 1 species